AGAACCGGAACCGCCAGAACCUAAACCGCCAGAACCAGAACCGCAGACCCAAAUAGACCCAGAACCGGAACCGGAUACAGUCUUAGUUGUAUGUACUUUGUGCCUUUCUAAGUGCUUAAGUCUUUGAGUUGUGAAAGAUCUCAGUUCAUCGAUUCUACUUUGGACUUUUUAUUUGGUUGGUCAACAAGUUCAUUUGGAUCCAAUUGAUCAGGCAAGAAUGGAGUUCUUUUAUGUCUUGUGUGCUUUAUGCUUUAAUAUUAUUGUUUCCGACACCCAAAUGUUACCCCUAAGGUCUUAUGAUGAAAUACAUAGAAGAUUA
rnacentral:lncRNA from 1 species